AGUAACGGCGAGUGAAGCGGCAACAGCUCAAAUUUGAAAUCUGGCGUCUUCGACGUCCGAGUUGUAAUUUGCAGAGGGCGCUUUGGCAUUGGCAGCGGUCCAAGUUCCUUGGAACAGGACGUCACAGAGGGUGAGAAUCCCGUACGUGGUCGCUAGCCUUUACCGUGUAAAGCCCCUUCGACGAGUCGAGUUGUUUGGG
rnacentral:rRNA from 1 species